rnacentral:rRNA from 1 species
AUUGAACGCUGGCGGCAGGCCUAACACAUGCAAGUCGAGCGGAUGACGGGAGCUUGCUCCUUGAUUCAGCGGCGGACGGGUGAGUAAUGCCUAGGAAUCUGCCUGGUAGUGGGGGACAACGUUUCGAAAGGAACGCUAAUACCGCAUACGUCCUACGGGAGAAAGCAGGGGACCUUCGGGCCUUGCGCUAUCAGAUGAGCCUAGGUCGGAUUAGCUAGUAGGUGAGGUAAUGGCUCACCUAGGCGACGAUCCGUAACUGGUCUGAGAGGAUGAUCAGUCACACUGGAACUGGGACACGGUCCAGGCUCCUACGGGAGGCAGCAGUGGGGAAUAUUGGACAAUGGGCGAAAGCCUGAUCCAGCCAUGCCGCGUGUGUGAAGAAGGUCUUCGGAUUGUAAAGCACUUUAAGUUGGGAGGAAGGGUUGUACGUUAAUACCGUGCAAUUUUGACGUUACCGACAGAAUAAGCACCGGCUAACUCUGUGCCAGCAGCCGCCGCGG